AAGGAAUAUUGGUCAAUGGACGCAAGUCUGAACCAGCCAUGCCGCGUGGAGGAUGAAGGUCCUCUGGAUUGUAAACUUCUUUUAUCUGGGAAGAAACCCAUGAAUUCUUUCGUGGUUGACGGUACCAGAUGAAUAAGCACCGGCUAACUCCGUGCCAGCAGCCGCGGUAAUACGGAGGGUGCAAGCGUUAUCCGGAUUCACUGGGUUUAAAGGGUGCGUAGGCGGACAGGUAAGUCAGUGGUGAAAUCUCUGGGCUUAACUCAGAAACUGCCGUUGAUACUAUUUGUCUUGAAUAUCAUGGAGGUAAGCGGAAUAUGUCAUGUGGCGGUGAAAUGCUUAGAUAUGACAUAGAACACCUAUAGCGAAGGCAGCUUACUACAUGAAGAUUGACGCUGAGGCACGAAAGCGUGGGGAGCAAAC
rnacentral:rRNA from 1 species